GUGAAAACGUACUUCACGUUCUCAGCUCCUGAGGGAGUAGGGCAGAGCUAGAGCCCUUGAAGAGAAGAGAAAAUGGGGAAGGGACCUCAGCUUGAGGAGAGACAAGGUGGGGGGACACCAGGCAAAUGAAGGUUUGGUAAAUACCUUGUUUGAUUAGCCAUUAUCCAACUG
rnacentral:lncRNA from 1 species